GCUUGAAAAUGCCUUGAAGGAAAUGGAUAUACAGUCAUUAAGAUCGGAAUCCGGGACAAAUUUGCAACCAGAGCCCUCGGGAAAUUUGGCAAGGAUUGGUUCCAGAGAGAGCCUAAAUUCAAUGACAUCCUCAGUCAAUACAGGAGAUAUCUGCAGUAGAAAAGUAAAACUCCCAAAGCUGGAAUUGAAAAAGUUUUCUGGAAAGAUCGCAGAAUGGCCAGAGUUCUGGGACGGGUUCAAGAGUGCGGUACACGAUGACAGCCAACUUGCCAAGGUAGACAAAUUUAAAUAUUUAAGAAGUUAUCUAGAAGAGCCGGUGUCAUAUGCGUUUCGGUAACCUUAUGCAUUUCGGUCCGGGUACUCAAACGCAUGGCAAUUUUGGUUAUGCAAAAUCGUACCCAAGCACUUAAACAAUAGGGUACCAAAACGAAUGGUGGAAUUUAGCAUGCAAAACGGUCCUGGUACAGAAACGCAUAACAAUUUUGCUUAUACAAAAACGUACCCAAACUUUUAAAAGACAGGGAACUGAAACAAAUGGUGGAAUUUAGCAUGCGACCUGGUCUGGGAACACAAAUGUUCUGAUUCAUAAUGUUCAGAAUGUAAAGAACAAUCGAACUAUUUCUAACAAGGAGGUACUAACAAGAAGCGGUGCUGUGAUUUCCCUUGUUAAGUUUAUGCAAAAAAGUACAACAUUAAUGGCGACUCCAAAGUUUUCUUGAUUAAAAAGUGUGAAAUUUUUAACAAAAAAAAGCAUUGUGUUCUAUUUAUUAAUUAUAAUUUGUCAUAAUAUCGCACUACGAUGAAAUCACUUGAUUUGAAACACAUUGCGUUUCACAAUGUUACACUUUUGCAUAGGGUACCAAAACGCAUAUUACACCGGCACGAAGCGUCGUGACGGGAUUCGCACUUACAGACGCCGAUUAUGAGUCUGCCAUUGAACUGUUGAAAAGCAGAUAUGCGAAGCCUAGCGUUAUAAAACGAGCCCACAUCAAUGACCUUAUCAAUAUGGCUCCAGUCUACAAUGAGAAGUGUUUGCAGAGAUUGCGUUGUUUGCAUGAUCAGAUCGAGACACGCUUUCGCGCAAUGGAGGCUCUAGGUGUAAGCAAAGAGACCUACUCAAGUGUUGUUGUUCCUGUUCUAAUGGGGAAACUUCCAGAGUCCGUGAGAAUCAAUAUGAUUCGAUUUGGAAAGAACCAUAUGGACUGGAACUUGGACGACAUGUUGGAAGCUUUUCAGAAGGAGCUAGAGGUUCUGGAGGGACAUUUUCCCAUCAUGCAGCGAGCCCAGCAAGGAGACAGAAGACAAGAGCAGCAUUUCAACAGGCCAAGGCAGCAGGAUAGACCUCCAACGGCCUCUUCCUUGCUUACUACAAGAGAUGCUAAGAUGAAGUGUGCAUUCUGCAAAGAAAAUCACGCAUCCGAGAAGUGUGAAAAAGUGAAGGAUCCGGACGAGCGUAAGACAAUUUUAAUUAAGAAUGCUAGGUGUUUUAGUUGCUUAAAACCAGGCCAUAGAUCUUUUAAAUGUCGUCUUAAGGUAGAUUGUAGUAAUUGUAAGGGAAAUCAUCACUGCGCCAUUUGUCCUAAUCUUGCCCGAAGUAAGGAAGCGCAGCCUAAGCCUACUGCACCUCAGCUUGACCCCACCGCAUCGGCUUGGGUAGGUAGCACUGGCUCUGAAGGGAAUGUGGCCCUGCAGACAGCCUUAGCUCUGGUGAAUGGCAAGGAUAGAGUGAGAGUUUUAUUUGAUACAGGAAGCCAUAAAUCUUUCAUCACGGCUAAGGCUGUUGGCAGACUCAGAUUAAGGCCUGUGAGGAGUGAACAGCUAGGAAUAAAGGCGUUUGGGAGUAAGGAGGCACAUGUUGCUUUGCGAGAUGUAGUGCAAAUUUCGCUAAGUCCAUGCAAUGGAGGAGAGAGUGUAAAAAUAGAAGCCUUUGUAGUUAAGGAUAUUGCUGAUAUUCCUAAUGUUCAUAUAGAGGUAGUUCAAAAAAAAUUUGCACACUUAACAAAGUUGUCAUUCUCAGAUCUUUGCAAAUCCAAAGACAGCUUGGAAGUUGAUUGCCUAAUUGGAUCGGACUGGCUAUGGCAAUUCCAAUUGGGGGAAACAAUACGAGGGGGGCCAGACGAACCUGUGGCGGUCAAGACCAGCUUGGGCUGGGUUUUGUCAGGACCGGUUAAAGGUGAGAAACUUGAUUCUAUUGACUGUAAUGUGAAUUUUUGCAUCGAUUCUAUACCUCCUUUAGUUGCAGGUGAAAAACAUGAUUUAGAUAAUCAGAUACAAAGGCUUUGGGACCUUGAUAGCCUUGGAAGUCGUGAAAAAGAUAAGGUGCAUGAAAAUGUACUUGAUAAUAUUGCGUUUGUGGGUAACAGAUAUUCUGUUGGGCUUCCCUGGAAAUCUGGACACAAGCCCCUAGCUUCAAAUUAUAAUGUUAGCUUGCAUCGUUUGAAGGGUCUUGUCAGGAAACUAGAGCAGAACCCAAAAAUUUAUGAACAGUAUAAUGACAUUAUUUCCCAGCAGGCUGCAGAGGAAGUAAUAGAGAAGGUCACAGAUCUUGAACCUGUAGGUAAGGUACACUAUCUCCCUCACAGAGCAGUAGUGAGAGAGAAUGUAGAAACCACCAAGGUUAGGGUAGUGUAUGAUGCUUCUAGCAAGGAUCGUAAAUCUGGGGUGUCAUUGAACGACUGUUUGCAUAAAGGACCCUCUCUGACCCCUUUAAUCUUUGAUGUGCUUCUCAGGUUUAGAAUCUACCCUGUAGCUCUUGUUGGGGAUAUUGAAAAGGCCUUUUUAAACAUCGAAAUACAUCCCAAGGACAGAGACUCUCUAAGAUUUUUGUGGCUAAGUGAUAUUCAUGCCAAGAACCCUGGAGUAGUAAUCUACCGGUUCAACAGAGUGGUAUUUGGGUGUAACUCAUCCCCUUUCCUCCUAAACUGUGUUUUGAGACACCACAUUAUGAAAUAUGAAAAUGAGGAUCCUGAAUUUGUGGAAAAGAUGAUAGGAGGGUUCUUUGUUGACGAUUUAGUGGUAGGUUGUGAAGAUACACAGGAAGCUUUAACCCUUUAUAAAAAGGCUAAAAGUAGGAUGGGCGAGGCAGGAUUUAAUUUGCGGAAAUAGAAGACUAAUGACAAAGAGUUAGCAGGGGAGAUAGCAAAGAUGGAAAUAAAUGGAGUGAAAGAGGAAAAAGCCUCUAAGCAUGAAGACACAUCAUUUGCUAAGGAGACUCUAGGCAUGCCAGACAGUAUGGGGCAGAAGACUAAGGUUUUGGGCAUAACGUGGGACAACACAAGAGAUACCUGGGAGUUUAAUCUGGGGAACAGAGGCGAGGUAAUAGGUGAAACAGCCAAACCCACUAAAAGAGGUAUCUUAAGCGCCUUAGCUUCUAUAUUUGACCCCCAUGGGCUUGUUAGCCCUAUAGCAGUGUCAGCAAAAAUCUUGUUUCAGGAGUUGUGCUUAGGAAAAAUUAGCUGGGACGAUCCACUUCCUAAGGAUAAGCUUGCAAGAUGGGAAGAAUGGGUUAAGGAUUUAAAACAGACGGGUACAAUUUGCCUUCCUAGGUGUGUUGUUUCUAAAAACAAAGGGAAGAUAUUGAGUCGGCAGUUGCACGGAUUUGCUGAUGCCAGCAAAAAAGCAUAUUGUGGGAUGGUUUACCUUGUAGAAGAAACCACUGAGGGAACCUUUACUAGGCUGCUGAGUGCUAAGACAAGAGUUGCCCCUUUGAAGGAAUUAACAAUACCCCGGCUAGAACUAAUGUCUGCAAGGGUACUAGCUACACUGAUGAACACCAUUAUUCAAACCUUCGGUCCACAGUUUAAAUUUGAUUGCAUUAAGUAUUGGCUGGACAGUAAAACCGCUCUCUAUUGGAUCAAUAACAAUGGAGAGUGGAAGCAAUUUGUCCAGCAUCGUGUCAAUGAAAUUUUGCGCUUAACCACCAAGGAAGACUGGGGUCAUGUAUCAGGCAUCGACAACCCAGCAGAUCUAGGUUCUAGGGGGGUUACAGCAAGCCACUUGAAGGAGAGCACAUUAUGGUGGCAAGGACCUCAUUGGUUGAAGGAAGGACAAAACAGCUGGCCUAAUGUGUUCACUUUAGAAGAUUCGCCUGAUGUAAAGGAAGAAAGAAAGAAGAACGCAAAUGUGCUAAUGCUCACAGAAAUGAGGCAAGGAGUGAGUGAGGUUGUUAAGGUAGACAGGCAUAGAAGUCUAGGUAAGUUGCUCCGGGUCACUGCCUUUGUCCAGAGGUUUAUAGAGAUAUUAAGGUGUCAUAGAACAGGAAGCAAACCUAAAAAAGGACCCUUAACUGUGGAGGAAAUAGAAAGAGCAGAAAGAACGUGGAUUGAAGACACUCAACAAUCUUUGAAGAUGGGGGAAGAUUUCAAAAAGUUGUCAGUGCAGCUAGGUGUCGUAAGUGAAGAUGGGCUCUUAAUUUGUAAAGGGAGAUUAGGUAACUCUGAUUUGGAUUACAGAAGCAAGUAUCCAAUACUACUCCCCAAAAAUGACGCUUUCACUGAUCUUGUGAUCCAAGAUUGUCUUUCUCUAAGAGUUUACUCUAAUCAUUUAUUGAACCUGCGUUAACAAGCAGAGAUAUUCUCUACAUAUUAUAUUAUACCAUAUAUUUUACCCAUAUUAACCUGCAAAAAUUACCUAAUCAGCUUGAAGUUUAGUUUGGAAUAUGCCUAAUAAAAUUUUAGACAGGGAAAUGUAGGUGUGCAACCCACACAAUUUAAGUGUGUUUCUGGGUACUAUCAAGAGAUAUUUUUGGGAAGAAAUUACUUAAGUUAGAACCAGCGUCUGGGAGAUAUUCCUAAAUCAAUGCUAGGGAGUAGAAACAUUAAGAACCUUGCAGGAAUCAGGAUCCUCUUCUCUGAAUUUCUCAUAACUUUGAAUCUUCUUCUCUCUUUCUUCUUUAUGUGUCAUGCGCUAAGGCACUGGCGACCGUGCUCCUCCAAACUUCUUUUUCUUGACAUGCUUGAAUGAGUUCACUUCCACUUGUCCUGUUAGUCCAUUUCUUGAUGUUGCUCAAAUACGUCAUUCUCUGUCUGCCUCUUGCUCUUUUAUCUUCCACUUUUCCGGUUAGCGAUAUGCCUUUUCUCCGCAUAACAUGUCCCAAAACUCGCUCAUUUGAUAUCUUAUCAGUCCAUGAAAUCUUCAGCAUUUUUCUUAAAAACCACAUUUCUGUUGCCUCCAAAUGCUUUUGCACAGCAGAUGAGAUACUCCUUAUCUCACAUCCAUAUAAAACUUUAAAUAGACUGUUUAAAUAACUCUGUGUCAGUUUGACACCAAUAAACUUCCAUAAUUGGCGCAUUUGGUUCUGAUUGAUAUUUGUGUUUCCAAAACAUUUGCCAAUGCAUUGGUGAACAGAUUGCCAGGCUGAAUAACAUUUUUGCUUCUAAUGGUUUCAACUAUAAGGGCUGUAAGAGGGAUGUUGCUCAAGUACUCUAGUUCCCAUACCCACUGAUAAUCACGCCCUGCCUUUGAAAAAUUCAGAUUGUUUCACUUUGCUAUUUUGAUGUUUUAUAGUUUUUCUAGGCUCUGCUCCAACCAAAGCUCUGUUCUAUGUCUCUGUGCUAGCGAUAUUAUAUUACCCUCUGUGCCUUUUACUCACACUCAGUUUUAUGCCUCUAUAUCAUACCUAAUUUUAAGGUGCAGUUAUAGCAAAAUAUAGUCAUGAGAGGGGGUAAAGUGCCCAAGAGCUUCAAGGUCAAUGGGGACUCAAAAAGUGAUAGGUUUCAUUUUGAGAAUUGUAUAAAUCAAACUUAAUAAAGUAUGCCUUUGAAAUAAUAAAAAUAUUCAGUUUAGGCGAACACAAGAAAAAUGACUUGCAGGGGGUGUCGCCUUCAGCCUUGAUCGAUUCUGUCAAAAAGAGUAGCUUCCAAAAUUAAUUUCUCACUGAAAUAAAAAACUAAGUAGAGAAACGAAAAGUAAAAGAUAAAAUAACAGAAAAUUUUAAGCUUCAAAUAUUUAUUUGUUGUUUUUUGUUAGUUGAAGAGGUUAUAAAUAUGUUGAUAUUUCGAAUGACUUUUCAAAAAUGUAAUUGCUCAACUUUCUGUAACAGCCACCAGUUGCCUAAGUUGAGACAUAUCAAUUGUGAUAUCGAUAAAUAUCACUAAUGAACUGUUCUUCUAGUAUCUUUGUGGCAAAAUAGUGUUCUUUGUUCUAAAAGCUAAAAAAGAAUGGGAUCGGUAAAUGCAUUUAAGGACCAUCCAAAAAACACAUGUUUUCAUCAAAAUGUGAAGUGAUAUAUUUUCCUUAAAAAUGAAUAUGUGCAUGGGCGUACCUUGACGAUUUGGAGUGGGGGGGGGGGGGUUGUAAACGGGUAUUCACCGACCAAAAUUCAACUCUUGCUAGUCAAUGUAUACACGCUAAUAUACUAAAUAAAGUCAAGAUACGCAUCUACCGACAAUCUAUAACAUUUACCGACUAUCCGUAAAAUUUACCGACCAACUUUCCAAAAGUGUACCACCCUUUGUUUAAAUAUGUUGCUGUUGAACCACAAAUGCGGAAAUAACAUAGAGAAGAGAAUGUUGAAAUUAUAAAAUAGAAGCAUAUUCUUUGAUUUCAGCAGAAUUUAUAGAAGGAGUUCUCCUGUUUCCAUAAAACGUUUUCUAUCUUCCUCCAAGGAAUAAAGGUUGAAGUUUGAAGGAAACAAAUGGCCCGACAAGGUUGUUGGGAAGAAGCUGGGAAGAAGCUGGAAACGUAUCAUGAAGCUGCGAAGGAGCUGAAAACGUAAGCAAAAAAUGGUGGAUGAGGUACAGUGGUAGUAGAUGGCUGAUGCUCAAGGGACGUCAAAGAACUAGGACGACAAUAAUGGCACCACUUGCCGCCAAUUUGGAUGAUACAGAAGAUGUUUCUCUUAACUUUGAAGAUGAUGCUUCUAUGGAGAAGAAGUCAAAAUUCAGGCACCCCAUUGCUGCCUUUUUUCAUCUGCUGUUUAGAGUUUUGGCAAUAGUUGCAUACUUGAUUU